UUUAAUGUUAAUUUCAGAAAAUAUUUGUGACCGCGCGCAAUGCGGUUAAUAGAAUCAGUGUUUGCUUCGUCAUAGUAUUUUGAAUAUUUUUUAGAGCACAACAGCUCUUAUUAAAUUUAAUUAGAAUAAUCAAACGCGAAGAUAGAAUCAGUGUUUGUUCGCCGAUUAUAAUAUAUACGGACGCGUUAUUAAAGUUUCUUAUUUUUUAUUUUUUUUUUUAUUCUCAAUUUUCGUUUUCGGCACAGGGUAGAGUCAGUGCUUCUCUCAAGAGAAUAAGGCGAUCAUCCACCACGCGAAGAGAUGCUGAUGAUCUUUAUGAAGAUUUUUGGAUUUUAAUCUUAAAAAAUAUUUGUGACCACGUGCAAUGUGGUUAGUAGAAUCAGUGUUUGCUUCGUUAUAGUAUUUUGAAUAUUUUUUUAGAGCACAACAGCUCUUAAAUUAAAUUUUAAUUAGAAUGAUCAAACGCGAAGAUAGAAUCAGUGUUUGUUCGCCGAUUAUAAUUUAUACGGACGCGUUGUUAACUUCUUAUUUUUAUUUUUUUUUAUUUUAAAUAUUCGUUUUCGGCACAGGGUAGAGUCAGUGCUUCUCUCAAGAGAAUAAGGCGAUCAUCCAUCACGCGAAGAGAUUUCUUCUACCUGAUGACUUCCUGAUGUACCUGAUGGGCUAUGGUAACAGUGAAAGCGUUCGUCGCAUCAUAUGGUGAGUCGCAUGGUUUUUGGUUCCUCCGGUCACUCAACCAUGUCGUAGGAUGAAAGAUCCGAAUCGACACGAGUGACUGGUUGUAUACGUAGAAUUUUGCACGAGCACAAUGACCGCGGAUAUUUAUUUAUAAUAAUUAUCCGCGAGUAGUAACGAUUAUUUCUUUUGUGUUUUAUUUAUUAGUUCAGGCUAGGGUCUUCUUACGCUUCGCGUUUUUGAUUAAUAUAAAAUGUUUAGUAAUUUUAAUAAUGCCAAAACAUAUAAUAAUUAUUAUUAUAUAAUUAUCAGUGUAAUACAAUAAUUAGUUUGAAUUUUUUUAAUUCAAAAUCCU